rnacentral:misc_RNA from 1 species
AUACUCAUCAUCUGAUUCAUACAGCUCUGACUUUGAUUCAGAUUCAAAUUCAGAUUCGUCACUAUCUGAUUUAGGUUCAUCUAGUAAUGGAAGGCAUAGCAGGAAGAGGAGGUCAGUAAAAGGAGAUAAACACCAACAUAGGAGGAAACAAAGGGAUGGUCGAAGGGAGAGGAAGUGAGUCGGGCAUAAUGAGUGAUCAAGGCACAAGUCUAAAUGGUCUAGGAGUUCAGGAAGU